GUAGGUGGCAAGCGUUGUCCGGAAUUAUUGGGCGUAAAGCGCGCGCAGGCGGUUCUUUAAGUCUGAUGUGAAAGCCCACGGCUCAACCGUGGAGGGUCAUUGGAAACUGGAGAACUUGAGUACAGAAGAGGAAAGCGGAAUUCCACGUGUAGCGGUGAAAUGCGUAGAGAUGUGGAGGAACACCAGUGGCGAAGGCGGCUUACUGGUCUGUAACUGACGCUGAGGCGCGAAAGCGUGGGGAGCAAACAGGAUUAGAUACCCUGGUAGUCCACGCCGUAAACGAUGAGUGCUAAGUGUUAGGGGGUUUCCGCCCCCCUUAGUGCUGCAGCUAACGCAUUAAGCACUCCGCCUGGGAGUACGGCCGCAAGGCUG
rnacentral:rRNA from 1 species